rnacentral:rRNA from 1 species
AUUGAACGCUAGCGGGAUGCCUUACACAUGCAAGUCGAACGGAGUGGCGAACGGGUGAGUAAUGUAUCGGAACGUGCCCAGUAGCGGGGGAUAACUACGCGAAAGCGUAGCUAAUACCGCAUACUAUUGGAGCGGCCGAUAACGGAUUAACUAGUUGGUGGGGUAACCGCGCACCAAGGCUACCAUCCGUAGCUGGUUUGAGAGAACGACCAGCCACACUGGGGCUGAGACACGGCCAAGACUCAUACGAUAGGCAGCAUUGGGGAAUUGUGGACAAGGGGGGAAACCCUGACCAAGACAUCCCGGGUGUGCGAUGAAGGCCUUCGGGUUUUAAAGCCCUUUUGGCAGGAAAGCGAUACCUGCAGAAUAAGCACCGGCUAACUACGUGCCAGCAGCCGCGGUAAUAC